CGCAGCCGCGGUAAUUCCAGCUCCAAUAGCGUAUAUUAAAGUUGUUGCAGUUAAAAAGCUCGUAGUUGAAUUUCGAGAUCAGUACGCUGGUCGUGCCUUCGGUAUGCACCGGUGUCACUGGUUUCUCCCUUCUGAAGAACCGUCAUGUCAUUAAGUUGGUGUGGCGGGGAAUCAGGACUGUUACUUUGAAAAAAUUAGAGUGUUUAAAGCAGGCUCGCGCUUGAAUACAUUAGCAUGGAAUAAUGAAAUAGGACGUUUGACCCUAUUUUGUUGGUUUCUAGGAUCGACGUAAUGAUUAAUAGGGAUAGUUGGGGGCAUUAGUAUUCAAUUGUCAGAGGUGAAAUUCUUGGAUUUAUUGAAGACUAACUACUGCGAAAGCAUUUGCCAAGGAUGUUUUCAUUAAUCAAGAACGAAAGUUAGGGGAUCGAAGACGAUCAGAUACCGUCGUAGUCUUAACCAUAAACUAUGCCGACUAGGGAUCGGAUGAUGUUAAUUUUUUAAUGACUCAUUCGGCGCC
rnacentral:rRNA from 1 species